CCAAAGCACUUCAUUAUUUUUUAAUAACUUGAAAUAGACAUCAAGUACACUGAGCCAGAACCUAUCUUGAAGCUGCAGAAUGUAUACCUCUACGUGUGGGAAAGGAUUUUACUAAGCUUGGCACUGGGCUGCUCCUCUAAACUAGGCAUUGAGGCAUAUGUUCUUACUGUCUUGUAGGGGAUUGAACCCAGGGCCUAGUACACAAUAGGCAAGUGCUCUGCUGUCCUUAAGGAUGUAAGUUGGGCAGAAGUAGAGUCCCGUUUAAAAAGGAAAAGUUGAUCACAGAUGAGAAAUCUUAAGUCGAAAUCUUCCACCUAGUUACCAGAGCAAGGUAUUCUUAGUUGACUAAGUCACAGAUUUGAGGAGACUAAAUGACCUGUUAUUUAACAAAUAAGAGGUCAAGUGAGGUUUUUAGAAAAGGAAGGGGGGGUGCUGGGGUUGUGGCUCAGUGGUGGAGCACUUGCCUUGCGUAUGUGAGGCACUGGGUUUGAUUCUUAGCACUGCAUAUAAAUAAAUGAAUACAAUAAAGGUCAACAAAAAUUUUAAAAAAUGAAGAAAUGCCUUAAUAUUAGGAUUUGUAGGAAGAAUUUAUCUUCUAGGUAAUUGUUUCAAGAGAAUUCAAAAAGGCUGCAGCCAGAGAGAUGUGGAAAUUUCUUUUUUUUCUUACCCUUAAGUGCAAACACCCGUGGUCAUAGUUAAUGGAAUUGUGUAGAUCAUAGUCUUAAUCCUUUCCAUUCUACUUCUUUCAAAGUAGAAAAUGAUUAAUAAACCCAUUUUUAGGCCAGGCUCAUGACAAAAGAUGAAAGGGACUUUAAUCCAACCUCCACCUCCCAAAUAUCCAAUAGAAAAAGACAAUAUCUGGGCUGGGGAUGUGGCUCAAGUGGUAGUGUGUUUUCCUGGCAUGUGCAG
rnacentral:lncRNA from 1 species